GCCGAAAUAGCUCAAUCUGGUAGAGCAACUGACUUGUAAUCAGUAGGUUGCGGGUUCGAUUCCUGCUUUCGGCACCA
rnacentral:tRNA from 2 species